GGGCCCGCACAAGCGGAGGAACAUGUGGUUUAAUUCGAUGAUACGCGAGGAACCUUACCCGGGCUCGAACGGCUGUUGAAUGAAUGUGAAAGCAUUCAGUUCGCAAGAACAACAGUCGAGGUGCUGCAUGGUUGUCGUCAGCUCGUGCCGUGAGGUGUCGGCUUAAGUGCCAUAACGAGCGCAACCCCUACCGAUAGUUACCAUCAAGUCAAGUUGGGGACUCUGUCGGGACUGCCACCGUAAGGUGUGAGGAAGGUGGGGAUGACGUCAAAUCAGCACGGCCCUUACGUCCGGGGCGACACACGUGUUACAAUGGGAGGGACAAAGGGUCGCUACUUAGCAAUAAGAUGCCAAUCUCCAAACCCUCUCCCAGUUCGGAUUGGAGUCUGCAACCCGACUCCAUGAAGCUGGAUUCGCUAGUAAUCGCGCAUCAGCCAUGGCG
rnacentral:rRNA from 1 species